ensembl:lncRNA
AAAAGAAGGACGUGGUGCAGCCUGGAGACAAGGUAUUCGUGAAGGUGUUUAGGAGGAAGUGGUUUAACGAACGCCGUGAGGGACCAUUUGAAGUUGUUCGCAGCACUGGAACUACGGUACAGGUUAAAGGGUCCCCGACGUGGUAUCACUUGUCGCAUUGUGUUAAAGCACCAAAGGGAGAGGAACCACGAUUACAGAGCAGAGAUGAUGAGGACUCAAGAGUACCAGGAGAAUCUGCUGAAGAAGCAGUGGUACAUGAGGACCUCCAAGGUCACACUCCAGAAGGAGAAGUGGAUGUUUUUGAUGAUUUUGAGCAUACUUUUGAUGAUGCCGGAGAUGACUUUUCAGUCAAUGGACAGGAAAGGAGAUUUGAGGACGUUGAUUUACAACACGUCCCAGAAACAGCAGAAUCUGUUUCUCAAGAAUGUGAGUCAAAGACUCCAGAGGGCUGUGCCGCCUCUCCAGGAGGGUCAGCGGAACCACUUGGAUCGAGGAGCCCAAGGCCAGUCCGGAGAAAAGUUAGACCAAGACGUUAUGAGGACUAGGAUUGAAGCGACCCUGAGGAAGUCUGUUCGGCUUCCAUGUCAGUGUAUUGAGGGAUAUCAAGUUCAGUGGGAAGAUAAUCAUGGUAAAAUUCUCGAUUUGUCAGAUACAUCACCCUCAGGAAAGUUUGUGUUUAAUAAUGACCCCAAGAGGUUGAAGAUGGGAGGAGACUGUAGUAUUUAUCUACGUAGAUUUCAGUUAGAGGAUCAAGGUGAUUAUAGAUGUUCUCACCAUGAAUCACAGGAGCAUGGUGUGCAGUUAAAGUUGGGGGCUAGUGUGGUGACUUUAGUGGAGAUAAAUGAGAGUAGGAAUAAAGAAUCCCAAGUUGUUAAAGAACCACAAAUGGUGCCAACUCUUUUGCCAAAAGUUAACAAAGUUAAACAGACAUCUACUUCUUUGGUUCCGAAGGUUGCUGAUGCAUUACAUUUAACCACAGUUGUGUCUACUCCAGUUACUACUUUGGUUACUACUAUGGUAGGGGAGAGUGUGACAAAACCGAAGGUAACAACAUCUACAUUGCGAUUAGAGCCCGCAAAGAUGACACCGAUACCUGUUGCUAUAUCUAUGACGCCUACGACAUUGAAGGAUGUAGUGGAUGUGAAGCAAAAGUCCCUGAUAGAGUUGAAGGAUGAAUUGUCUAAUAAUAGUAAGCAAGUGGACAGUCGAGAACCAAUUGUUGAGAACGAUGAUGUAGAUUCAUUGCAGACAGUUCAGAUGAACGUAUCAGAGGUACAUAAUGAUGGUUGGACAUCGGAAGAUGGGACUGAGGCUUUGCGUACAUUACGGAAGAGAGACACUAACUGGAAGGCGUAUGGUUUUGAUUCCUCAGUGAUGAAAAUUGCAGACCCAUGGGCAAGUAGGAAUUUGUGGUUUCAGCAGGUGACCCAUUCUGUGAGAUCUAUUAGUAGGCUAAAUUGUCCAUGUCUGG